rnacentral:rRNA from 1 species
GGAGGAUCCGAGCGUNAUCCGGACUUANNGGGUNUAAAGGGAGCGUAGAUGGAUGNCNAAGNCAGUCGUGAAAGUNUGCGGCCCAACCGUAAAANCGCAGUNGAUACNGGAUAUCUUGAGUGCAGUNGAGGCAGGCGGAAUUCGUGGUGUAGCGGUGAAAUGCUUAGAUAUCACGAAGAACUCCGAUUGCGAAGGCAGCCUGCUAGGCUGCAACUGACAUUGAGGCUCGAAAGUGUGGGUAUCAAACAGGAUUAGAUACCCUGGUAGUCCACACGGUAAACGAUGAAUACUCGCUGUUUGCGAUAUACAGCAAGCGGCCAAGCGAAAGCGUUAAGUAUUCCACCUGGGGAGU